GAUGAACGCUGGCGGCGUGCCUAACACAUGCAAGUCGAGCAAUUCUCUUCGGAGAAGAGCGGCGGACGGGUGAGUAACGCGUGGGUAACCUGCCCUGUACACACGGAUAACAUACCGAAAGGUAUGCUAAUACGGGAUAACGUAAGAAAUUCGCAUGUUUUUCUUAUCAAAGCUCCGGCGGUACAGGAUGGACCCGCGUCUGAUUAGCUAGUUGGUGAGGUAACGGCUCACCGAGGCGACGAUCAGUAGCCGACCUGAGAGGGUGAUCGGCCACAUUGGAACUGAGACACGGUCCAAACUCCUACGGGAGGCAGCAGUGGGGGAUAUUGCACAAUGGGCGAAAGCCUGAUGCAGCAACGCCGCGUGAGAGAUGAAGGCCUUCGGGUCGUAAAGCUCUGUCCUCAAGGAAGAUAAUGACGGUACUUGAGGAGGAAGCCCCGGCUAACUACGUGCCAGCCGCCGCCGUAA
rnacentral:rRNA from 1 species